rnacentral:tRNA from 1 species
AGUAAAGUCAGCUAACAAAGCUAUCGG